GUAGCUUCAGCAGCACAUAUACUAAAAUUAGAACAAUACAGAAAAAAAUAUAUAUAAUGGCUCCUGCACAAGGAUUACAUGGAACUUUGCAGUGUUCCAUAUUUUU